UACGUAGGUGGCAAGCGUUGUCCGGAUUUAUUGGGUUUAAAGGGUGCGUAGGCGGCUUUGUAAGUCAGUGGUGAAAUAUGGCAGCUCAACUGUCAGGGUGCCAUUGAUACUGCGGAGCUUGAGUACAGAUGAGGUAGGCGGAAUUGACGGUGUAGCGGUGAAAUGCUUAGAUAUCGUCAAGAACACCAAUUGCGAAGGCAGCUGGCUACGCAUAUAUUGACACUGAGGCACGAAAGCGUGGGGAUCAAACAGG
rnacentral:rRNA from 1 species